CCUCUCUCUCUCUCUCUCUCCAAGUCUCUGAACUUUCUCUCUCUAAAAUUUAGCAGGGGAGGAAAGAGGUCUAAUGGUAGAUGUGGGUGAAGAUGUUUCAGAGAGCAUUUGAUUUUGAUUUGUCAGGAGCUUAAACACAGCGGCUGAUCCAAACGCAAGAAACCAUACGUUUCAUUUAUCCACGCGGAGGGGCCGUGUACGCGGGUUUCCCUCCCGAGUGCAAAUAGCUUUUUUCUUCCAGAUAAAACAUUUCAAAAAAUCACUUUUUGAUCAUUAUGGCACGGCUCCUUGGGUCCUAGCCCCUCUCUCUCUCCAUUUCUUGGCUUGGUCUCUCCCUCCGAUAUCUCAGUUAGGUCUGCACUCCUUCAACUCCCAGUUUCGAUCAUCCGGAUGAAGGAAUCCCUUCACAUCGUCUUUAGUCGUUGCUUGAUGUUGCCAGCACAAGCCCAACCCAUUGCUUUAGGGAAAUCUCUCUAUCUCUCUGAACCCACAGAUCCUCUGGUUUGAGAAUACCCAUGGGGUCUUCUUUUCAAAUGAUACCCACGAGGUCUCCACUGAUGGCCGUGGAUAUCCUCUAAGGGAAGGCGAAUCCUGGCCUUAGGUUUCUACUACUCCUUGAUUUCGAGACUUAAUUUGCUGUUCUCCAUUGUUAUGCAACCUUUGUUUGAAGUUCUCAUCAUAUUAAUAAAGUUUCUCGGUCUCCAAUGCUCUAAUUGUGUAAACCCUCGUUUAUAUUCGUCUAGUAAUUAUUGGUUAUUGUAUACGUCGGGUCUUGUUUCUUUCAAAAAUCUAGUAGAGCUAUUCUUGGGGUUUCUCGUGUCUGGCUAUUUCUCUAACUGAAGAAAUAAUAUGUUUGUUAUUGUAUAUUCUUUGAGAUUUUGUUUUGGAAUUGCCCCAGAAUUUAUAAUGGUGUGGGUAUGUGGUUGAAUUUAUUUUAAAGUGCUGUUUCUUUUUAUCUCUAAGCAUUAAAAGACCAACGGCAGAAAAUCAUUUUGAUGUGUUUGGGUUUUGGAAUCUCAGUGUGCGGGUUUCAUUUUUUACUACUAAUGCAAUUUUAUAAAUUUAGGAGAUUCAAUAGCAAAUGUUCGUAAAAGUUGCAUUUGAGAAGUUCUUCAGCAUCAUUAAAGAGAAAGGGGGUUCACAAGGUCGUGCUGUAUUUAUAUUGCAAAAGAUAAGGUGUUGUGGUUGUAUAGAUCUUGCUGCAUACGCACAUGCUAUGGAAUUUGACACCAAGAAGAACAUGUAGCAUGCAGGUCUGAGUAGGUGGGGGAAGUGAGGCAAACUCAUCUGCUAGUGGAAAGGUGAUGCUCUGCUUUUGGAGACUAGCUUUUGCUUGUGCAAUCAAGCAUGCUCUGCUCCACAUAUAUGCCUCUAACAUAUAUAUAUUCUACAUGCGCUUGCUUGCUUUUGUAAGGAACCUGCAUGCCAUUGUUAAACUUUCUUAAUUGGUUGUUCCAGUGAUUACUUAUAGUUACACUCUUAGGAGCUUAGGUAAAUGAAGUUGGAUCACUUAUUUGUUGAACACUUUGAAUUGAAUGUCAUCCGGAUUAACAGAAAUGAGUAUGUUAAUGUUCAGGGCAUAUCGUUUGAGAAGGCUGCAUCAGAUACAAUCUAUUGGGACCUCGUUUGAGCCAAGCCCUACUCAAUGCUAUCCACUAUGCAUAUGUGCUUCCCAUAUAUUGCAGUACUGGCAUCAAGACAAGUGUACAUGUAUACCAACUUGUUGGUUUAGUUACCACUUCUCCUAAAUAUGUAUUUCCAUGUACUUCGAAAACUCAUAAAUAUGUUCAAGAAUUUCUUCGAUUUGGAAUUUGGGAUUUAACAUAUGGAUGUUGAUUUGCCA